CAGGACUCUGCCUGCCUGUGAGCCCCGGAUACAGGGACUAAGGCAGCAGGGGUGAGAGCAGGGAGCAGGCAGUUCCUCACCUUUCAGGAUGGGGGCGGCCAUGACAGACGGCGGGAUCCGGCCGGCUGGACUGCGCGGUGCUUGAGAGCCUGGCAGCGCGGGCGGGAACUGGGCAUGCGCGGGGAGAGCGCGCCGCUUUCACCGCGCUUGGCUGAACCCGCGUUUCCGGGAUUUCUUUGUAGUGACUUAGAAGCUACCCGGCGCCUCAUCUGGGCUCACCUGAGCUGAGGAUCAGGAAGGGGAGGGGCCACAGUCAUUGCCUCGCGGGCGCGGCGGGACCCCCGCGGAUGGCUUUGUGCGGACUUUCGGCACCGUUAUGCCUGCCCCCCAGCCCGACACCACCUGGGGCCGGCACGCCACGUUACUGUUCGGGGCCGGACCCACCGCCCUGCCUGUUCCGAGGACCCGGACCUCCGAUCCCGGGGAUGGGGGACCCCGAGACCUCAGACCCCACGGAGGUUACCCUGAGACCUCAGACCCCAUGCGGGGACCCCGAGGCUUCAUACCCCCACAGGAGGACCCCAAGACCUCAGACCCCACAGGAUGACCCCGAAAUCUCAGAACCCCGCAGGAGGACCUCGAGACCUCAGAUCCCCAGUAAGGGAGUGAAUGAGACUUCGGAUCCCUGAAGCAGCAAAUCCCUGUGGGGGCAUCCCAGGACUCAGGUCACCGCGGGGUGAACCCAGACCUCACAUUCGGGCAAUCCCCAGGCCGCCGAUCGGCCGGGCAUUACCCACUAUCCCGGCCACCCCCCGGAGCUCAAAGGUUUGGCCCUCCAGCUGCUCCGCCCUGCCGGCUCCCAGGCUCAAACCUCCAGCCCGCGGAUCCCCGCCCCGGAAGCAACCAGGUUCGCGGGAGGUUACCUGAUUAGUCCAAGGUGAUACAGCUGGUAACUGAUGGAGAUGUUGGUACUGAAAUUCACGUACUUUUAGUUCUUUCUAUUGAAUCUAGAGGUAGAAUACAUGUACAAGAAUAUCAGCUACCGU
rnacentral:antisense_RNA from 1 species